GCACCUGAAUGGCUGACUUCACAAAUCACAGAGAAGGUUGAUGUAUAUAGCUUUGGUGUUGUGGUCAUGGAAAUCAUCAGUGGAAGAAAGAACAUUGACUACUCUCAGUCAGAGGAGAAUGUUCAGCUCAUUACUUUACUGCAAGAGAAGGCAAAGAAAGGCCAGCUUGAAGAUCUGGUUGACAAGAAUAGUGAUGAAAUGCACUUACACAAGGAGGAAGUGAUUGAGGUGAUGAAGCUUGCCAUGUGGUGUUUGCAGAGCGAUAGCAGUAGAAGACCAUCCAUGUCCGUGGUGGUGAAGACCAUGGAAGGAGAAAGGGCGGUAGAUGACAAUUUGGGUUAUAACUUCUUUGAUUUGAGCCCUGCAAUAUCUGUUCCAGUUGAGCAGCUCAACAGUUCAUUGCACCCUGAAGCAUCAAUUUUAUCUGCCCCUAGGUGAAAUCAUAGGUAAAAAAAGGUCCAGUGUUCAACAGUAGUGUUGUUUCUAAUUAUCCUAUGAUGAAGUUUGAUUUAGUUCGUGAUUGUCAUGUAUGUUUCAGCAAUGUAGCUUUAAAAUGUCUUUGUCUAAGUUAAAAUCUGAAAUAACAUGCAUAUAUGCAUUAUAUAUACUGAGAUUUUAAAAUGGCCCUUGAAAAACAGCGAUGUACUGAACAUAUGGCCACUCAGUUUUAAUAAAUUGUACAUGGGGCUUAAGGCCCUGAUAUUAUUAUGGUUAUUAUAGUUAUUGUUGUUAUUACUGUUAUUGUUGUUAUUCUUGUUAUUAAAUAUUUGAUUAGUUUGAGUAUUUCAUUGCAUCAGACAAUCAGGUUGAUGCCACAUAUAGCCAACAGUGCUGAUUUAUGAGCUAAUUUGUUUUUUAUCUGUUGCCAUUCAGGGUGUGAGGAAUAUUUUGAAAUAUGUCUUCACAGAUGAUAUUUGUUUGAGAUUUUUCCCCUGUUAGUAUUCAGGGUAGUUGGCAAAUAUCAUGUCAACAGAUGAUUAUUGCCCUCCCUUCUGACACAAGAUCAUUCUCUUCCUCUAUACUCCCUCCAUUCCAUAAUAUAAGGCACGACCACUUUUUUUUAGAGACUUAGAUGUUCCAUAAUAUAAGGCAUGCAUGCAAGUAUGCAAUUAAUUAUAACAUCUUCUCUAUUAAAUUAUUACUUUUUAAAAUUCUUCACUCUCAUGUUAUCUAAUCCUAUUGGACGCAUGCAUUAUAUUUAUUAGGAUGAUCCAAAGUUCCAAACUACAAGAUGAUAAUAAUUAUUUCUUGGUCUUUGGGUUAAGGGUGGUUGUGCCUUAUAUUUUGGAAUGGAGGGAGUAUAUGUUAUAUAUUUGAGUGAUGAGUGCAUGCAGACAUUAUUUAUGUUUGUACAGUACAUUUUGCAUGCUACCUGUGUCAUUAGUAUCAUCAGGAGAGAAGUACCUCAGAACCCAUAUGACGCCUUGGGGAGAUUGUAAUGGCUUCACUGGUGCUCAGAUCAUCUCAUGGAGAUGUCCACGAGGAGAAGCUCGUAGGAGGCGUUGAAUCCCUAUCCGUAAGGCUGGCUCCAUGAAGAUAUUCCCAACUAGAAGGGGGGAAAUUUCAGAAUAGAUUAGAACCACGAAGAGCAAGAGAAUUUCAAGGGAGGUUGGAUACCUCACUAAUGUCUCCUCGAGAGAUCGGCAAGCUGAUGACCUGCCAGUCUGCCACUAGCCCAACUGCUUCGCUGCUGUCUCCUGGAACAUCAAACCCUAACUCCCACGCCACAGCUAAAAGGGGAUUCCCCCCACCCACCCCCCCCCCCCCCCAAAAAAAAAAGCUCAGAGAUGCCCACUCUCCACUUUUCAGUCUAAUUCAACAUUUAUCAGAAAAAGGGUAUAAUAUUUGAUUCCAUCCAUAAAUCGACUUUCCCUCCUAUGCUCUAAGUUCCAGUAUUGAUAAGAAUUCGAGUUCUUAAUGUUCGUAUGGUGUAAAUUGGGAAAUUGUACCAUAAUAAGCCUAAGGCAACACAUUAUCUUCAAGUUUAUGGCCUGAAGUGAGUUUUACACCUGUGGAAUUGUUUUUUUAAUCAUCCAGAUACACUGUAAAUCACUUUAAGAUCAGCCCCAUGUUUGUUAAGUGUUAACGAACUCCUGAAGCAAC
rnacentral:lncRNA from 1 species